rnacentral:rRNA from 1 species
AUUCCAGCUCCAAUAGCGUAUAUUAAAGUUGUUGCAGUUAAAAAGCUCGUAGUUGAAUUUCUGUACAGUCCCGGUUCUGGCUUCGGUCAAGCCGUGGAUUGUGCAUCCGCUUGCAAAUCUAGCUCGGCCUUCACUGGUCGACUAGGGGAGUAAGCCCUUUACUUUGAAAAAAUUAGAGUGUUUCAGGCAGGCAAUGGCUCGAAUACAUUAGCAUGGAACAAUGGAAUAGGACUUUUGUCCAUUUGGUUGGUUAUUGGACAUGAGUAAUGAUUAAAAGGGACAGUUGGGGGCAUUAGUAUUUAAUAGUCAGAGGUGAAAUUCUUGGAUUUAUUAAAGACUAACUUAUGCGAAAGCAUUUGCCGAGGAUGUUUUCAUUA